ACCAUGAGAGGGAGGCUGAAUGGGGCAGCUAGAACGAAGGCGGAAUCGCGGGCACGCGCCGAGAAAGAGGGCUACUAGGGGAUCGAGGGAGCGAGCUCGUUGGAAGGGCGGGGGAGCAGGUAGGCAGGACGUCGCUAGAUGCGUGUGCGUGGCUGGCAGCGCGCGUCCUAGGAAGUAGGCGUACGGGCGCUACCGGGGCGAUCCCGUCUGAGUGCACGCGGGCCGCGGGAGAGAGGCAGAGCGAGGGCGCCGCGGCCGAGGAGGAGGAGGAGGAGGAGUAGGAGCCCUCCGCAGGUUACCACCAAAGAACAUGAUUUUGGCCUAGGGGCUCCAGUAAAUAAAGCUGAGAAAUAUCAUAAUACUCCCCAAGAAGUGAGAAACCAAGAGAGACUCAUCUAUAUGCUAAAUUUACAGGUUAUAACAAUUAAAUAAACAUAUUGAAGAUCUCAAGCAGACAAAUCAUGACUUGGAAGAACAUGUUAGGAAAUCUUUGGAACUCAGAAAGGUGUUGACCAGUUAGAUAGAUGGUUUAACCAGCCAGAAUGUGCAUCUUUGUAAAGAAUUGAUUAAAGUAGACCAACUAACAGCACCUGGAAAAAGAGAGAAUUGUUGUUGGAUACAACACACAGGGACUUUUAAAUACUCAAAGACUGAAUUAGAUGCCAGCAAAAUAAUAUUGUAGUACUAGAAGAUAAAAUAAAGUCUUAGAUCUAUUUGAUUCCUUUGUCAAGCAAGACUUUAGGAGCAGACAAAUCGUCAUAAGAGUGAAGCUGCAAAUUUGGGAAAGAUGAUUCGAAGUAGAUCUAAAAGUCCUCGACGCACUUCUCCACCUCCUAGGGGAGCAAAUUGUGAUUCAGAGCUUAUGAAGACAAGAGAUCGUGAGGAACUUAGGUGUAUGUUGGAAAAAUAUGAACGUCACUUGGCUGAAAUUCAGGGUAACGUGAAGGUUCUCACAUCCGAAAGAGACAAGACUUUUCUUCUUUAUGAACAGGCACAAGAAGAAAUAGCGCGACUUAGACGAGAAAUGAUGAAAAAUUGCAAGUCUCCUAAGUCAACAUCAACAGCACAUGCCAUCUUACGCCGGGUAGAAACAGAAAGAGAUGUGGCUUUUACUGACUUAAGAAGAAUGACCACAGAACGAGAUAGUCUGAGGGAGAGAUUAAAGAUUUCCCAAGAGACUGCAUUUAAUGAGAAGGCUCACCUGGAACAAAGAGUAGAAGAAUUGGAGUCUACAGUUCACAGUCUUGAUGAUGAACGUCUAGAACAAAUGGCAAAUAUGACUUUGAUGAAAGAAACCAUAACUACUGUGGAAAAGGAGAUGAAAGCACUAGCACGAAAAGCAAUGGAUACAGAAAGUGAACUUGGCAGACAAAAAGCAGAAAAUAAUUCAUUGAGGCUUUUAUUUGAAAACACAGAAAAAGAUCUUUCAGAUACUCAGCGACAUCUUGCUAAAAAGAAAUAUGAGCUACAACUUACCCAGGAGAAAAUUAUGUGCUUAGAUGAAAAGAUUGAUAAUUUUACAAGGCAAAGUAUUGCCCAGCGGGAAGAACUCAACCUUCUUGGUGCGACACUCGGUGAUAUGGCUAAAGAAAAGGAAUGCCUGCAAGCAUGCUUGGAUAAAAAAUCUGAGAAUAUUGCUUCCCUUGGAGAGAGCUUGGCAAUGAAAGAAAGGACAAUUUCAGGCAUGAAGAAUAUUAUUGCUGAAAUGGAGCAGGCAUCAAGACAGUCAACUGAAGCCCUUAUCAUGUGUGAACAAGACAUUUCCAGGAUGCGUAGACAACUGGAUGAAACAAGUGAUGAACUUGCUCAGAUUGCUAGAGAAAGAGAGGCCUUGGCUCGUGACAAUGAUAAACUCCAAGAGGCAGUCUCUAGAAAUAAGCAGGAAAACCAGGUAUUAUCCAAAAAAUUGGCUGAAAGUCAAGCUGAGCUUAAUGAUUUAAAACAGAAGAACCAAGAGAAUCACAGUGAUAUUAAUAAGCUAAAAUCUUUAAUAAAGGCUGAAGAGGCUGAGAACCGGCAACUUAUGGAGGACCUCCGAAAGGCUGUUGAACAGGCUGAAAGCUGGGAAGCGAAAGCCCGCCAAACAGAGGCAGAGAACAACAAUCUCAAACUGGAACUUUUAAGUGCAGAGGCAGAGAAUAACAGGCUAAAAGAAAAAGUGGAGUCACUCAAUAGAGAGGUUGAGCAACACCUAAAUGCAGAGAGGUUGUACAAGUCUCAGAUUGCCACUUUGCACAAAUCCCUUUUAAAGAUGGAAGAGGAACUUCAGAAGGUUCAGUUUGAGAAAGUCUCUGCCCUUGCAGAUUUGUCUUCCACACGGGAACUCUGUAUUAAACUGGACUCUAGCAAAGAACUACUCAGUCGACAGCUUAUUGCCAAAGACCAAGAAAUAGAUAUGGUGGAGAAUGAGUUAGAUUCUGCACGAAAUGAAAUAGAGCUUCUUAGGAAUCAGAUGGCAAAUGAUAGAAUCUCCAUGCAGAAUCUAGAAGCUUUGCUGGUGGCCAAUCGAGACAAAGAAUACCAGACUCAAGUAGCACUUCAAGAAAAAGAAUCUGAAAUUCAGCUUUUAAAGGAGCACCUUUGUUUGGCUGAAAAUAAAAUGGCCGUCCAAAGUCGAGACGUUGCCCAGUUCAGAAACGUAGUAACACAAUUGGAAGCUGAUCUAGAUAUUACAAAAAGACAGCUAGGGACAGAGCGCUUUGAGAGGGAGCGGGCUGUACAAGAACUUCGCCGCCAGAAUUAUACUUCUACCAAUUAUUAUCACAUGAGCUCUACGAUAAAACCAACUCCUAGGUGUCAUUCACCUGACCGUGCCCUUCACCGCUCCCCUGAUCGAGGCCUAGACAGAUCACUGGAAGAGUAAGUGGUUCAAGGAUCCAUUCUUGUGGAAAAACACAUGGAGAUGUACCCUGAACAUUUAGGGGAGGAAUCUGACCUUUAGAGAUUUUUGACACAUGAAGGUUCUUCAUCCUCUGGAAAGCAAGGUUAAAAAACUGCACUCAAGUUUAUGCUAUAUAAUUGAUUUUAUCUUUUGAAUGCUUGACAAUGUUAAAUGUAUUUAUUGACCUCAAGAGAACAAACUCUGAAUCAGCUGUGGUGUUCUGUUUCAUACACCUGAUCCCUGUUGUUAUUAUGCCAUAUUGCAGAGUCUUGACAUUCAGAAGGAAAAAUGCAUAUGGCUGUAUCAAUCCACACAUUAAUAGUGAGUGUAAAGAAAAAGAUUUGCCUACUCCACUAUUGAAGGCUGUGGAAUAACAUUGUUCCUCGAGAGAAAAUAAAGAAACUUAUAAAAAGAGGGAAAA